rnacentral:lncRNA from 1 species
UCGUACGAAAAAUUUGAAAAAUUUAAGGGAUCAACCGUAUGUUAAAAAAAAUAAUCUCAAGGUGUGACACUCCAAUAAUCCCACAUCAGAUAGUUAUGGCUAGAUGUGGGAGUAUAUAUAAGCUUGAUUGGGUUAGAUAUAAUAACUGAGCUUAAGUAUUUUGGGCCGAUGGUUUGGGCCUAAUGAGUUAGUGUUGCUAGCGGGUCGGGUCGGGUCGUUACAUUUGGUAUCAAAGCCAGUUCACUAAUCGAAAGUGUGAGAUGAGUUUUGGCUGAGCCAGGGUCCGAAUGACAAAUUAAACCAAGGCUGGUGAUUAACAGGCUAAGUCAUUCACAAGUCUAAUAACUGGACUUAAGCAUUUUGGGACCAGCAUAAUAGAUGUUAUAUGCGAGAGUG